GACGAACGCUGGCGGCGUGCCUAAUACAUGCAAGUCGAACGGUCUUUUCUAUGGAAGCUUGCUUCCACUGAGAAGAUAGUGGCGAACGGGUGAGUAACACGUGGGUAACCUGCCCAUAAGAGGGGGAUAACAUCCGGAAACGGGUGCUAAUACCGCAUAGUUUUCUUGAUCGCAUGAUCGGGAAAGGAAAGACGGCCUUUGUGCUUUCGCUUAUGGAUGGACCCGCGGCGUAUUAGUUAGUUGGGGAGGUAACGGCUCACCAAGACGAUGAUACGUAGCCGACCUGAGAGGGUGAUCGGCCACAUUGGGACUGAGACACGGCCCAAACUCCUACGGGAGGCAGCAGUAGGGAAUCUUCCGCAAUGGACGAAAGUCUGACGGAGCAACGCCGCGUGAGUGAAGAAGGUUUUCGGAUCGUAAAACUCUGUUGUCAGAGAAGAACAAGUUGGAGAGUAACUGCUCCAGCCUUGACGGUAUCUGACCAGAAAGCCACGGCUAACUACGUGCCAGCCGCCGCGGUAAAAC
rnacentral:rRNA from 1 species